GUUUCUUUUCGGCAUGAACUGGUUUUUCCGUUGUAGUGUUUACACCUGUUGCUAAUAUUCCUAAUAACAAACUUAUUUUUGCAAUAUUUUUCAUUUUCAUAGUUGUAUGCUCCAAUAUAUUAUAAUUAGAUUGUUUUAUUACGUAAUUUGAAC
rnacentral:snRNA from 1 species